rnacentral:hammerhead_ribozyme from 1 species
AUCCAGUUGACGCGUCCCAAAUAGGACGAAACGCGCGUCAAACUGGAU